rnacentral:rRNA from 1 species
UACAUAAUAUUUAUAGACAAUUAUACAGAGGAAGUAAUUCUUCUUGAAUAAUAAACCGAUCAAAUUUCUGCCCUAUCAUACUUUGGACGGUAAUGUAGUGGAUUACGGUGGUGAUGACGGGUAACGGAGAAUUAGGGUUUGAUUCCGGAGAGGGAGCAUGAGAAAUGGCUACCACUUCCAAGGAAGGCAGCAGGCGCGUAAAUUACCCAAUCCUAAAACAGGGAGGUAGUGACGAUAAAUAACAAUGAUUCAAUGAUAACAAAGUUGAAUUAAUUGGAAUGAGAACAAUAUAAAUCCCUUAUCGAGUAACAAUUUCAGGGCAAGUUCUGGUGCCAGCAGCCGCGGUAAUUCCAGCUAGAAAAAGCGUAUACGAAUAUUGUUGCAGUUAAAACGCUCGUAGUUGGAAUAAAACAUGGUUUUCUUAUUUUUUUUUAUUUUUAAAACGGUAAAAAAGUAUAGAAUAUCAUUUUUUUUAAUUUUUAUAUAUCUCCUAAAAAA